ACCCUUGGUAAUAAAAUAGUUUUAAUUGUUUUUGUGCUAAUCCAAUGGAUCCCAAAUUUUUACAGUAACUCAGUGAUGACAUGAGUGAGGUACUGCUAAUUUCUCAGUGUCAUACAUUACUGUUUGCUUGUGGAAACAAAUUUUAGCUGAGGAAUCAGUUUAAAUGAAUAAGGAAAUGUCAAAUCCUAGUAAACUUAAUUAGUAAUUUUUGGAAGAGGUACAAAAAAACAUUCAGAAAUAAAUGACUUUCCAAAUGAACCCCGAACAAUCCUAAAAGAGACCCCACCUUCCUUGUGAAACUCUAAGUUGUAAGAAUCUUAAAUAUGUACACAAUCACCAUCAAAGUCAACCCUGAGUUUUAAACCACAACCC
rnacentral:lncRNA from 1 species